AAGAUAAUGGAUCUUAACAAGAUAUAGUACUGUGUGAAGGGCUGCAAGAGAGCCUGAGGAAGAGCAUUUCCUUCAGAGUGAAGGACACCCCAGGCAGACAAGGACCAGUUCCACAGGAUGCCGUUCAUGCCAUCGUUGGAGUGUGAACAUCAGAAAAUGAGUCCUACCCAUCUCGUGUGAGCAUUGAGACUGCACGCCACAUUAAACAGAACAAUGGACUUGGCUCAAUGGGUGCAUUAAAGAGAAGGAGCAUAGAACACGUUUCUUACACUGCAAAGCAGUCCCUGAAUGUGAAAUACCCC
rnacentral:lncRNA from 1 species